GACACUGCUGCCAUAGCGGUCUUUGCCAAGACUUGUCCAUGCUGAGGCCCAAUUCCUCCCCUGGCAUAGGGUUCCCUGACUGGGGCUGCUUGUGUAAAGAAUGGAUCAGCAUCAAAACCAGAAUCUCCCAGUGGAGGCCUAUUGUGGGCAGGCCCAGAAAGGCAGGAGAAACAGAAGAGGAAGGGGUGAGGGGCCUAGAACGACAACCUCAGGGUGAAGAGGUGAGACAAGAAGAAAGGCAAAUGGCAGUGCACGUUUCCCAUGACAGUCAAGGCCCUGGUGUUGGGAAACACUGACCCAGUCCAACGGACAAAUGACAACAUGGGACAUCAUGUGACUGGAGCUUCUAAUCAUCUUCCUAACAAAGAACUGCAACACAAUGGGUCAUCAAAGCUUCUUAGUAAAUCUGUGCAUACCGCGACAAAGGAUCUCCUGUGAGUCAGAAUUUGGUCAAGAAUUUCAGUGCAUCUUGAUGCUGAUUGAGAAUACCACCUGAAACUGAUCUGAAGUAAUAACAGGCUAGCAACGUAAUCAUCUCUGUGUUGGUCCAUGCUUGAAUGAAUGUACACGGAAUCUUGGGUGCUGCCUCUCCAUUUUCAGCAGCAGAAGACAUCUACAAGAGAAACACACUGCCCUUUGAACUUCAAUGUUACUCUGAAAUACAAUAUAUUAAUAAUAUUGCUAACCAAAGGAUCUAUUUUAGUUAAGUAUGUUUUUGUUAUUGCUAUUGCUGUUGUUCCUAAGGAAGACAGAAACAUUUCAGAAUACUAAAAAAGAAAUCUGCAUUCCUUAAUCUUUCAAAAAUAAAUCUAAAACAUUUUCGU
rnacentral:lncRNA from 10 species